rnacentral:rRNA from 1 species
UGGGGAAUAUUGGACAAUGGGCGCAAGCCUGAUCCAGCGACGCCGCGUGAGUGAUGAAGGCCUUCGGGUUGUAAAGCUCUGUUGAGGGAGAAGAAAACGGCUGGUUCGAAUAGGGCCAGUCCUUGACGGUAUCCCUUUAGAAAGCACCGGCUAACUCUGUGCCAGCAGCCGCGGUAAGACAGAGGGUGCAAACGUUGCUCGGAAUUACUGGGCGUAAAGCGCGUGUAGGCGGGCUGAUAAGUCGGACGUGAAAUCCCUGGGCUCAACCCAGGAACUGCAUCCGAAACUGUCAGUCUGGAGUGGUGGAGAGGGAAGCAGAAUUCCUGGUGUAGAGGUGAAAUUCGUAGAUAUCAGGAGGAACACCGGUGGCGAAGGCGGCUUCCUGGACACUAACUGACGCUGAGACGCGAAAGCGUGGGGAGCAAACAG